rnacentral:tRNA from 1 species
GGGGUUGUAGCUCAGCCCGGGAGAGCACACGGCUGAAGCCCGUGGGUCGCUGGUUCAAAUCCGGCCAACCCCA